GGCAUCCGGGAGCACUACCCUGCACCCUGCGGAGCUUUUGUCAUGGCCCUCAGACAGCCGAAAGCAGAAGCCUUCUGCCAGCAAGCACCCAUCUUCCUUGACUACUUACACAGCAUCCUGGAGAAGUACCCUGAUGGCGGGCAGAUCCUCAAGGAGCUGGUGCAGAAUGCAGAUGAUGCAGGCGCUACUGAGGUCGUGUUUGUGUCCGACGAGCGGGAGUUCGAUGUCGUCGCUGGAGGGGGCUUGGA